CCGGGACGAGGUGAUCGGGCGGUGGUCGGUGGCCGACCUUCGGGAACAGACCGAGGCCGACCUGAUCGUGGGCGACACGCUCUUCUACAAGGCCAAGACGCCGAUCGAGAUCGUGGAGCAGGGCGAGACGGCACACAUCGAGUGGUGGCGGAUCGUCUCGGGCGAUGUCGCGUACGAGGUGCGGCGAUUUAAGAAUUUCGUCUGGUGCUCGUGCAAGGGGUUUUUCUUUACAAAGCGAAUGUGCAAGCACGCCGCACUGACGACGGGAGUUUAUUGCCGCCGCUGCCGAGUGCUGCGGGCCAAACAGGACAAGCUCUGCGACGAAUGCCAUUACAUCGA
rnacentral:misc_RNA from 1 species